AGGACUAACGUUUUAUUAUAGUGCCUUAUCUGUUCUCUUUCUUCUACUUACGCAUCACGCUUGCACCGACAUGUUCAGUCCUCUUCUAUACCUAUAUGGCAUAUAAAAAAAGUAUACCUACAAAAGCCGCUGAAGAUCAACAACGGGGCACAUACAUACAUGGCUUGGAGCCCAUAACCCUAAAAGAACGAAAAAAGAUCGAGAGAGCGAGUUAGUCAGUCUCCUUAUUGGCAUCACCUUGACAGUUUACAAACGUGGAGAAUCGUUAAAAUAUACGUUCAGCUAGUGAUUGCGCAUCGUUAGCUUUUAAAAACUACGGAGAUGACCUCGAUUAGGGCAGAACUCAAAGUCAUAGGAAGCUACCGAUUUGGCCGACUCAGUACCAACAAUGACUUGGACGUUAUUUAUUGUCUGUAUCAAGUUGUAAUGUCAAAUCCGGACGAUAAAGUCAAAAUCUUUGAUAAAAUGCAGCGUCAGUCGUUCGUCGAGAUCACUCGCAAGCGGUGUCUCAACUCAAAAGGAGAGUUCGGAAAGCUCUUGCUCCCGUGGAUCGCCAUCGCCGGCAUGCUGUGCAGGUGGUCGACGAGAAGUAGACCAUUCUCCAUGUGCUGUUUCAAACUAAUCUUACCCCAAAGAACGAGCGAUUGAUCCGUCUAGUCUACUCCUCUCGCCAACAUGUUCUACACAUUGCGGUGGAAGUGUGGAACAGAAGCAAGUGCAGCUGAUCGAAUGGCUUCUCGAUAAAGGAGUCGAGGUCAACGUCGUUGACGAGCACGGAAGACGCCAGUGCUUUACGCGACCAACAGCAGAAAAGCCAACAAGCUACUGCCGGCCAGGGCGUAAAUGUCGACGAGCAACUGAAAAGUUUGGCGAAUCUCUGCUAUGUACUUCGCGGCUGUAAGUAAGUCUCGGCACUGGAGACUGCUGGAAACUUUGCUGAAACGCGGUGCGGGCGUUGAUCUGGGAGCGAUCGAUGUUGUAUCGCGCUGCACCAACGCCUGCGGGCACUUCAAUCCAAGCUGGAAUGAGAAGAACAUUGGCUACUUCUGUCCGUCGGCGUGAAUGUGCUUGCCGAGGACUGCAAAGGCAUAACGCCUUUCGUUUGCCUUCGUUACUACGACACGACUCCGGCCAUCAGCCUGAUGAUGCUCAAGGCGCUAGCGUAGGAAAAGGUGCGCCGACCGUCGAUCGAACUGAAGGACGAGAGGAUCAUAAAGGGGUACCCGCAGCUCUGGGAUUAUUAUUGAGACUGCUGAGCGCAUCCCUCUAGGAUGAAGUUCAUGAGAUUCAUCAAGAGUUGCACAUUUUUUUAUCCUCUCACGAAAUGCGAAAUACGAUCUAGGCGAUCACUCUAUACGCUGGAACUUUUGAUUGCGUUUUGUCUGAUCGAGUUGUGAGGAAGGUGAAUUGACUAGGCAUACGUUAAGAACACAAAAAUCGUCUUUUUAUCUGGCCCUAUAACUUACCUGCGAUUUCGUCUCAAGCGGUGUCUUGCUCCGCUAAUCGCACAAUAUGGAACAAUUACAACGUACAGUUUAAUAAAAGAGACCAUCCAGGUGCAUAUGAGACAUCAACAGAGCAAAAGUUUGCAGUAUCAUCCACUCUCUUCUGUAAGUAUACCUACCAGUUAAUUUAAUGCAGAAUACUGCGUGAAUGUUUACAAA
rnacentral:lncRNA from 1 species